rnacentral:rRNA from 1 species
UACGAAGGGGGCUAGCGUUGUUCGGAAUUACUGGGCGUAAAGCGCACGUAGGCGGGUCGUUAAGUCAGGGGUGAAAUCCCGGAGCUCAACUCCGGAACUGCCUUUGAUACUGGCGAUCUUGAGAUCGGAAGAGGUGAGUGGAAUUCCCAGUGUAGAGGUGAAAUUCGUAGAUAUUGGGAAGAACACCAGUGGCGAAGGCGGCUCACUGGCCCGAUACUGACGCUGAGGCGCGAAAGCGUGGGGAGCAAACAGG